AUCCGAGAUGUUUAAUCGUUAACAUCUCCUCCCUCCCCUCUCUCCUCGAUCGGUAAGAUACAAGGGGGACGAAUAAAUUCACGUCUCCUCGAUUUGAACGCGACUCACGAGCCUUCUUUAUCACGCACACCCGGUCGAUAAAAGUCAGUCCAUGAAAAAGUGGUCGGUCGUGAUUGCCGUGAACGCGAGCGAGCGAGUGCAGCGGUGAAAAGCGCAGGUCCAUCGGUUGGCGGGCCAGGCGUGAGAGGCGAGGGGGUGAGGGGGCUCGAGAGCAUAGGGAUUUCCUCGGCGCAUUUCGUUGCAGUAGUCGACAGCAUCCCGCGGGUGGUCGCGAUCGAANAGGGCGGGAGAGCUGUCGAGCAGAGGGUUCGAAGGGGGAACCCCUGCCUCUUUCCCUCUCGCUUUCUCUCUCUCUCUAUCUCUCUUUCUCUCUCUCUCUCCCCCUCCCCUCUUGUCCUCCGUCCACCACCGAUUCGAAAAUAGUGGUAAGGUGCUUCUGCGAAAGAGGAACGCGCGUCCGACACGUGAUCGCGUGCACGCCAGUGCUUUCGUCCAUUUUUUCCUUUUCCCUCCUCAUAACAAACGAAACACCGGUGAAUUUUCGUUGUUCGUCGUGUAGUAGUAGUAGUAGUAGUAGAAAGGGGGCGAGCUACGCCCCGGAUCGACCGGGAUAAUUCGAGGGAAAGAAUCGACGAAGAGGCCUUGGGGAGACACGGAGCCCUCGAGGACAGGGGAUCCUGGCACGCCUCCAACCGAGUCUCUCCUCAUCGACGACGCCGAUCCAACGGCGACGACGUUCGAUGUCGGCGGCACAGCAGACCGCGAAGUGUGUCGUUGCUAUUUUCAGGUAGAAAUUGGGAUCGCCGGUUUUUCGAGCAAGAGACACGACGCGGGUGAAACCACACAAACGAGCACAGAAACUGUAGAAACGCGCGGCGAAAAAGAGAACAGGAGGUUCGUAAAUGUGAGAGAACAGGUUCUCUUCGAAUAUUGCGAAGAGUGCAAAUAAAGAAGAUACUUUACUUCUUUUUUA